rnacentral:tRNA from 4 species
GGGGUCGUGGUGAAAUUGGUAUCACGCGGGUCUCCAAAACCUGCUUUCCAGGUUCAAGUCCUGGCGACCCUG